GAAUCGUUGAUCGAGUGGUAAUUGUUUAAGAAGCCAAGUAAAAUAUCAAUCUAUUUGGAAAAGAAGGGCUUAGUAAUAAAAGAAUAUGUGAAAUAAGAACCCGGUCUAUUUGAAUGAGAAAGAAUAAGUGUAGUAGAACUUCGGAUUAUUUAGACAGAAAAAGACUAGAAAAGUCAAGUUUGACCAAGAGAGUAAUAUUGUAUUUCAAUGUGUAUAUGUUAUGUGCUUGUGUAGGUCAUGCGCCAUUGUCUGCCUGAUUUAUCUGAUAUGUCCAGUCUGUCUGAUUUGCUUCUGCAGUCAUCUGUGAUUAGGCGCGUGACCAGGCUUAGAGGCAUCUGCCUAGAAUCUGUUUUGUCAGCCAACCCAUGUGCCUCCUGUGGAGGUUCCGAAUAUGUCAAGUGAUUGUCGCUAAGUGUUAUAAAGUUUAAGUUCUGUUUUCUUGUUUGGUUAAUCAAGUCUGGUGUAUUUUUGUAAAUAGGGCUAAGUCCCUUUUUGUCUAAUCUGUAUAUAUAGGAUGACUUAAAGUUGAUGUGUA